rnacentral:tRNA from 1 species
GCACUGACGAUUCAGUGGUAGAAUUCUUGCCUUACAUGCAGGGGACCUGGGUUCUAUUCCCACCCAAUGCA